GCAUCCUGGUUCGGCCAGUCGAUCGCGCGCUGCGGAGCUGAGGAUAAGGAAAGGAAGAUCCACCAAGGUGAGGUGACCUAACCAAGAUCACACAGUUCUAUAUGUUCUCCAGGGUUUUGCCUGCCCUUCUAAGGGAAAGCCAAGAGACAAGGGGAUGGAAACCAAACUCCUACCAUCUGAGCUCCAGGAAUCAGUGGUGUUUGAGGAUGUGGCUGUGUACCUCACCCAGGAGGAGUGGGAAUGUCUGGGCCCUGCUCACAGGUGUCUCUACAGAGGUGUGAUGCUGGACAAUUAUGAGAACAUGGCCU